GACAGCAGUAGCCACGGUAAAACGUAGGUGGCAAGCGUUGUCCGGAAUUAUUGGGCGUAAAGGGCUCGCAGGCGGUUUCUUAAGUCUGAUGUGAAAGCCCCCGGCUCAACCGGGGAGGGUCAUUGGAAACUGGGAAACUUGAGUGCAGAAGAGGAGAGUGGAAUUCCACGUGUAGCGGUGAAAUGCGUAGAGAUGUGGAGGAACACCAGUGGCGAAGGCGACUCUCUGGUCUGUAACCGACGCUGAGGAGCGAAAGCGUGGGGAGCGAACAGGAUUAGAUACCCGGGUAGUCCCUGUCUCUUAUAC
rnacentral:rRNA from 1 species